rnacentral:rRNA from 1 species
AACGCUAGCUACAGGCUUAACACAUGCAAGUCGAACGGGGAACGGAUUCGUCCGUUCCCAGUGGCAAACGGGUGAGUAACACGUAUCCAACCACCCCGCGACACGGGGAUAGCCUUCUGAAAGGGAGAUUAAUACCCGGUACACUGUUUAUAGCGCAUGCUAUUUUCAGUAAAGUUCCGGCGGUCGCGGACGGGGAUGCGCUCCAUUAGAUAGUCGGCGGGGUAACGGCCCACCGAGUCUAUGAUGGAUAGGGGUUCUGAGAGGAAGGUCCCCCACAUUGGAACUGCGACACGGUCCAAACUCCUACGGGAGGCAGCAGUGAGGAAUAUUGGUCAAUGGGCGAAGGCCUGAACCAGCCAAGUAGCGUGAAGGAUGACAGCCCUAUGGGUUGUAAACUUCUUUUGGUCGGGAAUAACAGACACCACUUGUGGUGUUUUGCAUGUACCGGCCGAAUAAGGAUCGGCUAACUCCGUGCCAGCAGCCGCGGUAAUACGGAGGAUCCGAGCGUUAUCCGGAUUUAUUGGGUUUAAAGGGAGCGUAGGCGGGAAGUCAAGUCAGCUGUGAAAUGCGCACGCUCAACGUACGCCUUGCAGUUGAAACUGGUUUUCUUGAGUGCGUAAGAGGCAGGCGGAAUUCGUGGUGUAGCGGUGAAAUGCUUAGAUAUCACGAAGAACUCCGAUUG